rnacentral:rRNA from 1 species
GAUGAACGCUAGCGGUUUGCCUAACACAUGCAAGUUGCACGGCGCCAUGCCUCUCGGGGGAUGGCGCAGUGGCGGACGGGUGAGGAGCGCGUAAGGACCUGCCCCUGGGAGGGGGAUAACAGCUGGAAACGGCUGCUAAUACCCCAUAGCCUGAGGAGGGAAAGGAGAGAUCCGCCCAGGGAGGGGCUUGCGUCUGAUUAGCUGGUUGGGGGGGGUAAUGGCCUCCCAAGGCAACGAUCAGUAGCUGGUCUGAGAGGAUGAUCAGCCACACUGGGACUGAGACACGGCCCAGACUCCUACGGGAGGCAGCAGUGAGGAAUCUUCCGCAAUGGGCGAAAGCCUGACGGGGCAAUGCCGCGUGGAGGAUGAAGGCCCAAUGGGUCGUAAACUCCUUUAGAUCAGAGACGAAGAGAUGACGGUAC